GGAAAGUUGGCAGAGUGGUAAUGCAACGGACUCGAAAUCCGUCGAACCGCAGAAAUGUGGUGCAGGGGUUCAAAUCCCCUACUUUCCU
rnacentral:tRNA from 1 species